rnacentral:rRNA from 1 species
AGCGAACGCUGGCGGCAGGCCUAACACAUGCAAGUCGAGCGCCCCGCAAGGGGAGCGGCAGACGGGAAAGUAACACGUGGGAACGUACCCUUCAGUUCGGAACAACCCAGGGAAACUUGGGCUAAUACCGGAUACGUCCGAAAGGAGAAAGAUUUAUCGCUGAAGGAUCGGCCCGCGUCUGAUUAGCUAGUUGGUGGGGUAACGGCCCACCAAGGCGACGAUCGGUAGCUGGUCUGAGAGGAUGAUCAGCCUCACUGGGACUGAGACACGGCCCAGACUCCUACGGGAGGCAGCAGUGGGGAAUAUUGAACAAUGGGCGCAAGCCUGAUCCAGCCAUGCCGCGUGGAUGAUGAAGGCCCUAGGGUUGUAAAGUCCUUUCGGCGGGGAAGAUAAUGACGGUACCCGCAGAAGAAGCCCCGGCUAACUUCGUGCCAGCAGCCGCUGUAAUAC